rnacentral:rRNA from 1 species
CCUACGGGAGGCAGCAGUGGGGAAUAUUGCACAAUGGGCGAAAGCCUGAUCCAGCCACGUCGCGUGAGUGAAGACGUACCUCGGUAUGUAAAGCUUCAUCAGCAGGGAAGAAGAAAGAGGGUACCUGACUCUGAAGCACCGGCUCACUACGUGCCAGCAGCCGCCGUAAUACGUAGGGGGCAAGCGGUACCCGGAUUUACUGGGUUUAACGGGGGCGUAGACGGCUGUGUAAGUCUGAGGUGAAAGUCCGGGGCUCAACCGCGGAACUGCCUUUGAAACUGGAUAGCUUGAGUACUGGAGAGGCAGGCGGAAUUCGUAGUGUAGCGGUGAAAUGCGUAGAUAUUAGGAAGAACACCGGUGGCGAAGGCAGCCUGCUGGACAGAAACUGACGUUGAGGCUCGAAAGCGUGGGUAGCAAACAGGAUUAGAUACCCGAGUAGUC